CCCCAUGAAUAAGCGUCGGCUAACUACGUGCCAGCAGCCGCGGUAAAACGUAGGGCGCAAGCGUUAUCCGGAUUUACUGGGCGUAAAGAGCGUUGAGGCGGUUCUGUAAGUUGGGCGUGAAAGCCCUCGGCUUAACUGAGGGACGCCGUCCAAUACUGCAGGACUUGAGGGCAGCAGAGGGAGGUGGAAUUCCCGGUGUAGCGGUGAAAUGCGUAGAGAUCGGGAGGAACACCAGUGGCGAAGGCGGCCUCCUGGGCUGCUUCUGACGCUGAAUGCGAAAGCUAGGGUAGCGAACGGGAUUAGAAACCCCGGUAGUCCUAGCUGUAAACGAUGGAUGCUAGGUGUAGGAGGUAUAGAUCCCUUCUGUGCCGAAGCUAACGCGAUAAGCAUCCCGCCUGGGGACUACGGCCGCAAGGCUAAAACUCAAACGAAUUGACGGGGGCCCGCACAAGCAGCGGAGCGUGUGGUUUAAUUCGAUGCUACACGAAGAACCUUACCUGGGUUUGACAUGUAGGUAGUAGUGAAGCGAAAGCGGAACGACCCUUCGGGGAGCCUACACAGGUGCUGCAUGGCUGUCGUCAGCUCGUGCCGUGAGGUGUCGGGUUAAGUCCCGUAACGAGCGCAACCCCUGUCCUUAGUUACAAGUGUCUAAGGAGACUGCCGGCGACAAGCCGGAGGAAGGUGGGGAUGGCGUCAAGUCAGCAUGGCCUUUAUGUCCAGGGCUACACACACGCUACAAUGGCCGGUACAAUGGGUUGCCAAGCCGUGAGGCGGAGCUAAUCCCCCAAAGCCGGUCUCAGUUCGGAUUGUGGGCUGCAACUCGCCCACAUGAAGUUGG
rnacentral:rRNA from 1 species